GCACUGAGUAAUGUUCCACGGUCUGGUUGUGCUGCAGUUUUUUGACCCAUUCACCUCCUGGAGGACAUCUUGGUUGCUUCCAAGCUUUGGCAGGCAAGGAGCAAUACCUUUUGCAAUUCAGGAUUGCCAGGCCAGUGGACUGCUGUUCUCGCUGUUCCAGCUAUCUGUUUGCGGCAAUUUCCAUCCAUUCCAAUAAAAAAGGGCAUCGCAGUGCAUUUCCACAGCACAGUGACCUGAAUUUGCUGGGAGAGCCUGUACUUUGUCAGUUAACCAUGGUCAACCACAGACCGGAAGCAGACGAUCUUCCUUCUAACCCAAUGUCAGAAGGUCAGCAGUUGUCACACGCUAUGUCCAAUGCCUGCGUCGUUCACCUCACCUCAUCAUGGAAGCGUUUUAUCAUCUCACCUCAAGAAAGGGGACAGCACCGAAAAGCUGGGGACCACUGCUUGGGACUGAGACUGACGUGCCCAACAUGUCCAUCUGACUUACGAAGAAGAGGUGUGGGUGGUCGUCCGGCUCGGACUCUGCAUUUCAGGAUUGUUAGAUAUUUAUCACUUUACUUUUUAUGACCUAUGACAUAACUGCAGAAAUUAAGAAUAGGAUUGCAUUUGGAAACUCAGUGUUUUCAUUUGAAUGGUCAAUCCCGCCUCCCCCAACUUUGAGGCAAAACAAGACUGAGUUUAAUCAUCUUUCAGUGAGUUGUUUUCUCUCACACUUUCAUCCAGUUCAACAUCUAAGUAAAUCCACAUUGCUAACAGAUUAGUUUUUUGGAACAAAGGGAAUCUGUGAAGACUUUUCAGAUUCAGAAAAGAUUUUGUUCUAGAAGCAAUAGGAAACUAACACAGGGACCUGUGUUCCAUCUUGACACAUGUCUUUCACGCCCCUAAGACAGAAAACGAAAAAGCAGUGAAUUUGUGCCUGCUCUUAAAGCUUCGACCAGAAGCCUAGGGAUGAGAAUAUACGUUAUGCUUUUGCUAAUCUGUGAGUUACUUCAUUAUUUUCUGACUGUUUUUCAAGCCUCUUACCUCAUCUGUAUAUCCAGUUCCCUCCAUUAAAAUUCCAAUUGCUUUCUGGGUUCCUGGUUGGACCCUGGCUGAAACCCCGAGUAACCCAGAAUUUGACAAGCACACUGCUUACAAGGGCAGCUCUGGGCAAAGCGAUGUCCUUAGGGUUCCAAGCAGUAGAUGGGAAAAGACUGUAGUGAAAAAUAACACAAACCAGCAGAUUCAAGACAAGAGUGGAUAGAGGUGUAGGAUGGCCAGAUAAAAUGCAGGUCCGUCUCCUGCAAUCGGUAGACUGUCUAAUUCUUUGUUGUCAGGGCUGUCUUGUGUCUUUGUACGGUGUUUAGCAACAUCUGGAAUAUGCUUAUACUAAAAGAUUAUUCAUUGUUUAUGUGAAAUUCAAAUUUAAUCAGGUGUCCUGCGUUUUUGUUUGCUAAACCUGACAAACCUAAUAGAGAAUAAGCUCAUGUUGAGAGCUGGCUUCAAUGCUGGACUGUGCAGGAAUAAAUAUGGGGGCACAAGGGUCAGUUUUGGAAAGAAGUUGGGUGCUGGAAUCAGACCUUGAUUGGAGUCUUUUUAUAAGCCUCAGUUAUUGUGACUGAGGCAAUUAUGAAAUACGGGGUAGUCCAAUCAGAGGACUGUGGAAUGAAAGCUUGGGAAAAUGCCUGUGCAUGUGUGUUUGCAUGAUUGAAUGUAUAAAUGAGUUGCAGAAACUUACCUGAAAUAAUGGCCUAAGUCUAGCAGUUGCUAGAGAAAUAGUCUCAAUUAUUUAGGAGUUUAAAGAUAGAUAGAUG